rnacentral:lncRNA from 1 species
GGCAACUUAGAUUGAUUGAUUUGCCUUUUUCUUGUCAUUCUAGCUAAAAAAAAUAUGCAUGCCAAAAGGAAGCAUGUUUUCCUCAUCGUAAGGUUUACGUCAAUUAGUUAAGAAGUUUUCAUGGUGUAACUAUGGCCGAAUCCUUUCUAUGGGGGCAUGAUUUGGAUUGAAACUUAUUCUGCUGGGAUCUUUUGUUUGAUGACCAGAUUAUUGUUUUCAUCUCUUUCUGUCAUUUAAUCGUCGUGUCAGACAAUUUCGAAUAACUUUAGGCUAUUACUGGGAUAUGUUUUAGAGGGCUAUUAUGUUUAGGUUUGGUGAACAAGAAUUAUGGUAAUGUUCGCCUAUAAUGUUCACCAAUGCAGAUGUUCAAUAACAGUGGGUCAGUUAGUUUUGGCAGUGGGCUGGAGAAAUUUUGUCACCCCACGUUAUAACAAGUCAAACCAAUUUGGAGGCAUGAAAUAUUCAACUCGUACGAGAACUAAUAGUACUGUGUAGCACUAAGAAAGAAAAAUAAUCUAAAUUUCUGUUCAUUAUUCUUAUUCUAUUAUUCUAUUGCAUCUCAUCCAAUACAAUGUACAAGAAUUAUGAGCUGAUGAAUUUUAAUGCAUUACUGAAUCAGUUUUCUUUCCUUGUGAUGUCAACUUAUUUGAUUUUCUAUAUGGAAUUUGUGGUUAUAUUUUGGUUAAGUGGUUAAUAAUUAUUUAUUAUCUUCAUUAGAGAACAUAGGUGGUCAUAGUGGUAAGAAUAUGGAAACAAUGUCUUGGUCCGAUCAGAACGAACACGUUUUUAUCGGAAUACUUUACGAUAACGUGAAAGCAGGGAAGUUGCAUUGUUCUACGUUCACAAAAGACGAUUGGGGCAAGAUCAAUCAAGAGAUGAUUGUUGCCACAAAAUCAGAUUACGGGAUAGAGAGAUUGACGGGUAAGUGGAAUCGUUUACGUAAGGUACAUCGCUUGUUCUCUUACCGUUUAGGGCAUACGGGUGUUACAUGGGAUCCAAAUAUACCAACCAAGUGAAUGCUACAGAAGAAGUUUGGAAACAUUUUUUUACGGUAUGUGUCGUAAAAGAAAAUUUUUAGCAUUACUUAUUUAUGAUAUCAUUUUUUGUUUAACAUUUUGCUUCACUAUUAAUGUAAGCUUUUUUUUAUAUUGUAGAUAAACAAGAGCGACCAUAAGACAUUUAGGAGGGAAGGAUGUAAGCAUUACGAAUUGCUUGCAGAGAUUUUUAGCGGGACUACAGCUAUUGGAGGUCUAGGCCAUGCUUCUACUUAGCUUCCUCCAACUUCAGAGGCAGAAAGACGGCUAGAAGAUGAGUUUUUGAGCAGGGGAGUGCAUGUACAUGUGGAGAAUGAUGACGAUGAAGUUUCAAAUAUUCGUCGACGUGAUGAUGCUAUACCUAACAAACGUCGACGUAAGGAACCCAAAAUCGGUAAAGGAGAAAAACUUGAGGAAUUUAUGACUCAAUGGUCAUCUACUGUUAGUAUGAGGAAUGAGGAAACAGAACUAAGGAUUCUAUACAUGAAAGAAAAGCUUGCACACAUCCAAGAAAAAUCAUCUAAUCACGAGGGCGCUAGUGAAGUCACUAGUCCAUAUCCUUAUUCAAAUAUGGCGUGUUUGAACAUCUUAAACAACAUGGAAGGAGUGUGUAACGAGGUUUAUAUAAAAGCAAUAAAGGCUUUUAAGGAUCUAGAUUUCAGAAUGACAUUUAUAAUGAUGCCAGAAAUUAGGAGAGGACUUAUCUUGGAACUUCUUUGAUUUGCCUAAUUGGUCGGAUUGAGUAUUUUGAACUUAUAAUGUAUGAUUAUGUUCUUUUUAUAUAUUGACUAUGAACUUUGUAAUUUCAACAUUUACUAGUAGUUUUAUUUUUAUCAAUGUAGAUUUUGGUAUUUAUAUUUGUUGGAGUGUUUUUAU